AGUGACAUUGGCUUAGCUUAGUGGCGAACGGGUGAGUAACACGUGAGGAACCUGCCUUUCAGAGGGGGACAACAGUUGGAAACGACUGCUAAUACCGCAUAAGACCACGAUACGGCAUCGUAUUGAGGUCAAAGGAGCAAUCCGCUGAAAGAUGGCCUCGCGUCCGAUUAGCUAGAUGGUGAGGUAACGGCCCACCAUGGCGACGAUCGGUAGCCGGACUGAGAGGUUGAUCGGCCACAUUGGGACUGAGACACGGCCCAGACUCC
rnacentral:rRNA from 1 species